AAAUGGUCUGGUGGUGAGGCCGAACCCAUCCCAACAUCAUUUAGGUUCAAAGCCAGUAACCCAGUGCUGACCUGCUUAUGAAACUUAGUUUGGGAUUCUAUAUUCAGAUUGGCUUGUGAUAAUUUUUGGUGUUCCUUACCUUAGAAAGAUGUAUUCGAGUGAACUGUAUAGGGAUCAUAAGGUUAUCUAUGCCUAAAAUGAUGAGGUAUAAGUAGCGGUGAUAAUGAAGUAGUCUGGUGGUGAGCCCACACCGUUCCCAAUUUCAUUUAGGUUCAAAGUGGGUAACUUGGUGUUGACUUGCUUAUAAACUUUGUUCAACCUGAUGCCAUUUAUUGCUGAUGUGUUUGUUAGGCUAGCAGUUUCAGUCAAUGCUAGCUCUAAUGUUAGACACAUGUUCUACUUUUAAGUAAUUGUCGUGUUGAUUUUGAGAUUAUGAGCUUUAAUCUUGAAAUUUUUAUACUUUGUUCUAUCUUGACUUUCAAUUGAGAUUAUAAGUGAUUUAAAGAAUUGAGUUGAGGAUACAUCAUCACCUGUCUGGACUGCAACAUGAUGGUUAAAUGUAGGCAUGCAAUUGGACCGUCCCUUUCAAUGUAUGUUGCAUUAAUGACCACAAAAUUAUGUUUCGCUAUCCUAAUGAAGUCUGUAUGAUGGUUUUUAUGGAGCAUGGAGCAUUAAAUGAGAUGUAUGAUGUGGAAUUUGUAGCAAAAUUGGAUGUAGACACACACUAGGACAUGACAAUAUGUAACAAGAAAUAUUUUGAUGGAAGAGAAGUCUAUGUUUUUAAUAAAUUUAUCCAAAUUUGUGCAUUAGUAGUUGCACAAAUUGGGAAUUAAAGAUUAACAAACAGUAAGUGUUUCUUUAAAACUGUUCCUACUUUCUUUAUAUUUUUAUCUUUACAACAAUAUUCUUUUUUGUAUAUUAGAAGUGGGGUUCAUGCUUGACUUGGCAAGGUAAAUAUUCAGUUUCUUUUGAAAUAUCUCGUGUUCUUGAUAUUUAUUGGCUUGUAUUGCCUGAUGUGGUGUUAGUUUCAGAGCUCCUAUGAUCUACUGUUCAUUCUUCAUGGUUUGGUUUUGACCAUGAUAUUGUAAUCAUAAUAAAAAUGAAAUGAACAGAGUAGGUUUUUGGUUGGGAGGAUUAAUCUUGUUGAGGAUGUUUCAUGCAGACAAUCUUUCUAAAAAUGUCUAUAAAGUACAAUGGUACUCGUGUAAAUUAUACUAUAUAUAGCAUUGGUAUUGACCUUUAAUUCAUGUUUCAUUAGUUUGUUUUUGGCUGUUGCAGGUGUGAUAUCUCCGACCACUGGGAGGGGGUGACAAGAAAUCAACAGGAUUACUAUUGAACAUUCCAUAGGACACCCAACAGAAAGAAGUUUUCAAAAAAAGAGGGAGAAUUUCACCCAGGAAUCAACCUGACAUGCUGUGGCUGAGUUGGCAUCCUCUCCAUAGUUCACUGACUGGAUUAUUAAGCAUGCUGACAGCAGAUGAUAAUUCAGAUAACACAAUUGGAAGUGGCUCAGAUUCCACAGAUGAGAAUCUUGUAGAAAGUGGCGAUCGAUUUGUUCAAAUGGUAGCUGUGACCUUAGAGUAGGAAAUUAGUUACUUGUAACAGUACAAUGAGGUAGAUGCUAGGAAUGGUGCUCAUUUAAUUUUUCUUCUUCUUUGUUUUAGGUUUACUUUUAAUGCAUCGUAUUAUGUCAUUAAGCAAUUGUGGCAAAUCUUUUGAAAUCUUCUAAUCAUGUUAUAGUGCGUGCUCUUUCUAUGCCUCUUCCUACCAAAUACUUCUGAUGGUUGCAUAAAAAGAGCAUUGUCAA